AAAAAUACUCCCAAAAUAAACAACGGUGAUUUCGUACAACUAAAGCACCGAUUGGAAACCCCUGGCCCUUUAAUCUUCUCCAGAAAUGCAUAAAAAAACACUGAACUAUCGAGACACGAUGAAUUGUGCAAAAGAGAAUGUGAUAGAAUCGGAAAGAAAGAGAACAAAGAAAAUUGGCAGAAAACCCAAAAGGAGAAGAAAAGAACGCCAGAAUUUCCUUUCUGGAAGAGAGAGAAAAUUUCUAAAAAAAUAAAAAUAAAAAUACAACAUAUUUGAAACACAUCCCCUAUUUUUCUCCCACUAUAACUCACAACCAC
rnacentral:lncRNA from 1 species